CUUGUACACACCGCCCGUCACACCACGAGAGUUUGUAACACCCGAAGUCGGUGGGGUAACCGCAAGGAGCCAGCCGCCUAAGGUGGGACAGAUGAUUGGGGUG
rnacentral:rRNA from 1 species